rnacentral:lncRNA from 1 species
AAUAACACAAUGGAGGUGCAAAUGACAUGGGGGUGUGCAAAUGAUUAAACGACAAAGGGUCCAUGGCCCAUAAUUAAGCCUGAUUACUAUGAAAAAAAAUAAAAUAAAAAGAAUGAAAAGAAAAAAAGAGCUCGACAAGUGAAGGAGGCGGCGCUGCUAAUACAUGCAGUAAAGGAAACUUGACAUUUUCAACAUUUUAAAAGAUCACUACACAAGUUAUGAAAAGAUAGGAGAGUAUGGGUGAGUGUGAUGGAGGAGAGUAUGGUGGUCGCUGGUUUGGAGAAGAAAAGAUAGGACGAUGGAUUCCGGCCAAAAUGGAAAUGAAUAGCAACAGAUCCUCUUCUUUUUUCGUUUUUUUUUGUUUUUUUCAUAGAGAUGAUAUUAUCACCAUCUAUGAGAGACGGGUCUAUUAAAAAAUGAGAGAGUUCUAUUUUGUUUUAAGAGAGAGUUUGAAGAAAAUCAAAGGUGAUUCCUAGGUCUUUUUCUCAAGGCAUUGUUUUUCUUAUAAUAUUCUAUUGGUGAACUUUGUGAGGAAAGGAGUCUGCUUGUGUAACGUUCCAAUCUGCUUUUCCCUUCUUCUAAUCUCGUUACAGUUGUACAAAGUGGGUGGGUUGGUUGCCAAAAUGGAAGCGGACGCGUGGCCCUAUUCCAAUGGGAGCAACUUUUGUUUUUUCUAAUCUUUGAAUUGGAGAUGAGUUGUCACGUGAAUGCUACUUAUUCAAUCUUUU